rnacentral:rRNA from 1 species
UACGUAGGUGGCGAGCGUUGUCCGGAUUUACUGGGCGUAAAGAGCGCGCAGGCGGUCGUACAAGUCGCGUGUGAAAGCCCCCGGCUCAACUGGGGAGGGUCACGCGAUACUGUUCGACUCGAAGGCAGGAGAGGGAAGUGGAAUUCCCGGUGUAGCGGUGAAAUGCGCAGAUAUCGGGAGGAACACCGGUGGCGAAGGCGGAUCUCUGGGCCAUUACUGACGCUGAGGAGCGAAAGCGUGGGGAGCGAACAGG